GACCCGGUGGCGCAGUGGUUAACGCAGCGACUUCGCAUUCUAACGGCUCUCUCUUAAGGUACGACUUUGACGGUUCGAUUCCGCCCUGGGUCC